UACAGAGGUGGCAAGCGUUGUUCGGAAUUACUGGGCGUAAAGGGCGCGUAGGCGGUCCCGUCAGUCCCUUGUGAAAUCCCCCGGCUCAACUGGGGAACUGCAAGGGAUACAGCGGGGCUUGAGUUCGGGAGAGGGAAGCGGAAUUCCGGGUGUAGCGGUGAAAUGCGUAGAUAUCGGGAAGAACACCUAUGGCGAAGGCAGCUCUCUGGGACGGUACUGACGCUGAGACGCGAAAGCGUGGGGAGCGAACAGG
rnacentral:rRNA from 1 species